rnacentral:misc_RNA from 1 species
GAUGAAGAACGUAGUGAAAUGCGAUAAGUAAUGCGAAUUGCAGAAUUCAGUGAAUCAUCGAAUCUUUGAACGCACAUUGCGCCCGCCAGUAUUCUGGCGGGCAUGCCUGUUCGAGCGUCAUUUCAACCAUCAAGCCCCCGGCUUGUGUUGGGGACCUGCGGCUGCCGCAGGCCCUGAAAACCAGUGGCGGGCUCGCUGUCACACCGAGCGUAGUAGAUUUUCAUCUCGCUCAGGGCGUGCUGCGGGUUCCGGCCGUAAAAAGCCUUAUUUACCCAAGGUUGACCUCGGAUCAGGUAGGAAGACCCGCUGAACUUAAGCAUAUCAAUAAGCGGAGGA